rnacentral:rRNA from 1 species
AGAGUUUGAUCCUGGCUCAGGAUGAACGCUGGCGGCGUGUCUAAGGCAUGCAAGUCGAACGAGUUAUUAUAAUUUAUUAUGAUGACUAGUGGCAAACGGGUGCGUAACACAUUGGUAAUCUACCCCAAAGUUAGGAAUAACUCGAGGAAACUCGAGCUAAUACCUAAUGUGCUGUAUACCUUCAUGGUAUCCAGUAAAGCUCCGGCGCUUUGGGCGGAGCCUAUGGCCUAUCAGCUUGUUGGUGGUGUAAAAGACCACCAAGGCUACGACAGGUAGCGGGUGUGAGAGCACGACCCGCCUCACUGGGACUGAGACACUGCCCAGACUCCUACGGGAGGCUGCAGUCAAGAAUAUUCCCCAAUGCACGAAAGUGUGAGGGAGCGACGCCGCGUGAAUGAAGACGCCCUUCGGGGUGUAAAAUUCUUUUCUAUGGGACGAACUAAUGACGGUACCAUAGGGAUAAGGGGUGGCUAACUUCGUGCCAGAAGCCUCGGUAAUACGAAGGCCCCAAGCGUUAUCCGGAUUUAUUGGGCGUAAAGCGUACGUAGGCGGUUUAGCAAGUCAGUGGUAAAAUCCCAAGGCUCAACCUUGGACCUGCCCCUGAAACUGCUAAACUAGAGGCUGGGAGAGGCGAGCGGAAUUGCUGGUGUAGGGGUAAAAUCCGUUAAUAUCAGCAGGAACACCAAAUGCGAAAGCAGCUCGCUAGAACAGUCCUGACGCUCAGGUACGAAAGCGUGGGGAGCGAAGCGGAUUAGAUACCCGCGUAGUCCACGCCGUAAACGAUGGAUACUAGGCAUUGGAAGUAUCGACCCUUUCAGUGCCGGUGAACCAAGCUAACGCAUUAAGUAUCCCGCCUGGGGAGUACGGCCGCAAGGCUAAAACUCAAAGGAAUUGACGGGGACCCGCACAAGCGGUGGAGCACGUGGUUUAAUUCGACGAUAAGCGAGGAACCUUACCAAGGCUUGACAUCUAGCUGCAAGCUCUUAGAAAUAAGAGCCGCCUUCGAGGGUGCUAGACAGGUUUGCAUGGUUGCCGUCAGCUCGUGCCGUGAGGUGUACAGUUAAGUCUGGAAACGAGCGCAACCCCUGCCCUAAUUUGCAUCUUUAUUAGGGGACCGCCGUGUACAACACGGAGGAAGGUGGGGACGACGUCAAAUCAGCAUGGCCCUUACGCCUUGGGCGACACACAUGCUACAAUGGCCAGUACAAAGGGUUGCCAAGCCGCAAGGUGGAGCUAAUCCCAUUAAAACUGGUCUCAGUUCGGAUUGAGGUCUGCAACUCGACCUCAUGAAGUUGGAAUCGCUAGUAACCGUAAAUCAGCCACGUUACGGUGAAUACGUUCUCGGGUCUUGUACACACCGCCCGUCACGUCAAGAGAGUCGAUAAUACCCGAAUGCUGGUGUAGGCCGGUAGAAGGUAGGAUCGAUGAUAGGGGCGAAGUCGUAACAAGGCA